rnacentral:rRNA from 1 species
AAUGAACGCUGGCGGCAUGCCUAACACAUGCAAGUCGAACGGUAACAGGAAUCAGCUUGCUGAUUCGCUGACGAGCGGCGGGCGGGUGAGUCAUGUCUGGGAAACUGCUUGAUGGAGGGGGUUAACUACUGGAAACGGUACCUAAUACCGCAUAACUUCGCAAGCUCAAUGAGGGGGACCUUCGGUCCUCUUGCCAUCGGGUGAGACCCGAUGGGAUCAGCUAGUAGGUGGUGGUAAGGCUCACCAAGGCGCCGAACCCUAGCUGGUCUGAGAGGAUGACAAGCCACACUGGAACUGAGACACGGUCCAGACUCCUACGGGAGGCAGCAGUGGGGACUAUUGCACAAUGGGGGAAAGCCUGAUGCAGCACUGCCGCGUGUAUGAUGAAGGACUUCGGGUUGUAAAGUACUUUCAGCGGGAAGGAAGGAAGUAAAGUUUAUCCCUUUGCUCAUUGACGUUACCCGCAGAAGAAGCCCCGGCUAACUCCGUG